GCCCGCUUCUCGCAGCGGCGGUUCGGGGAGCGUGCCCGGGUGUCCCGGGGGGAACGCAGCGUGAAGGGCCGCCCGGGUUAUCGAGUUGGAAGAAGGCUGAGAUUUCAAGCUUUGAGUGACAGGCGCCUUACAAGAUUACCAUAGCUAAGCUGAGAAGCCAGUUGCAGCUCUGAGUACCAGGUUCACCGAGCUGGUGUAUGUACUGCACGUACAUGAAAGUGCACAUGUUUUUGUCAUCGCAUAGACUGACUUUCACGUAUUCCUGAGAGCUUUGCAAUUGAUGAAAAUUAAUUUAAGUACCAGAUGGAGCACCUUUACAGCACAGGAAUUGGUAAUCCAUGGAAAAACACCUGCCAGUAAUAUUCAACUUACUACAUGGUCUUCACGAGUGAAAAAAGUUUGCAAAAAAAAGAAGAAAAAACACCCUCCACACAGAAAAAGCCUAAGAAAUACCUCCACAGUCUAAAUCAGUAAUUGUGAGGGAAACAUAAGAAUACUGAGGGCAGAGGAAAGUGAUUUUGUUAUUGCAGGGGCAAAAUGUGUCGUCUUUGGCACGGUAUGCUUUGGGCUCAGUAGUUUCUGAAUGGACUAAUAAAUCGUGACUGUAUGUUGAGCGAUGAUGACUGAAAGUAAGUAAGUUGAGGAACUAUGGGACAAGUCUGGGCAUUGAACUGAAGAAUCCUCAUCAUCCUUCUUGAGUUAACCAGGUCAUCGUCUUACAUAUUCUCUCUUCCUCUCCUUUUUCCUCUUUUCACUUAGUGUGAUAUACAUACUAAUGAAUUGAGCUCAUUAAUGUUACUCAAAUAAAACGAUUGGAAUACUUCA